GGAUUAUUAAUCGGUUUCCUGUGGGGUGAUUGUUUCAAUUGUGCCAACAGAAAGGGCAUGUGGGGAACAGAUGGCUGUCAUUCGGCACAGCUUGGCUCCAGAUGACAGUGCCCUUCCCACGUUGAGCUUAGAGAAAGCGCAAACCAACAUGGCUGUGGGCAGUUGCCCAGUGACGGCAGAAGCCAUCCCACACAGCCUGCCUUGAACUUUAUGCUUUGGUGUCGUUUUGGCAGAGCGACUGGUUUCCCAACUGGGAGAUUUGAAAAGAUCCACAAUCCUGAAGGUAAAGAGGAAAAUACUCCAACCACAAAGAAAGGAGCUGUGUCGAGCACUCCGUCUCCUUCCUUCUGGAUGAAAGAGAUCUGGCAUCCUGGAAGUCUCCAGUGCACAGCUUCGGCCUGUGUGGUUUGGAGAGUUGGGAAGUUUAUCCGUCCAUCCUGCUGCUUGGAUGCCAGCCACGCAGGAGUCUCUCAUACAACCUUUCUGAGUUUUUCUUUUUACCCAUUUCUCAUCUCAAAUAACAAAUUCCUAAAGGCAUAAUUUCAAAGAAGUUGCUCAUCAGUUUAGGGGACCUGGGCCAACCUUCCCAACCUUCCCUUGUGCCCAUUCAUUCAUUCAUUCAUUCAGAAUGCAUAUGUUGUGUGUCCAUAUGCUGCAUAUUAAUAAUAGCUCCUUUCUUCAGUAAGUUGGGGCUAGCUCAUUCCUGCGCAGCAAAGCUUCAUGGUUAAUUCUUGUUAUUCUUACUCUGUAGUGAGAAAACUGGAGCUCCCAGAAGAUGCCUAUCAUAGCACAAGUAGACAGGAACCUGGGAACAUGCAUGAGACUGCAACUCCCAGCUACUCUGACAAUCAAAGCCCUGCGUUACCUUCCUGCACCUGUCACAUGGAAGCAUGAUGAGAGGAUGAAGCGGGUAAAUAUGAGCAGAUUACUAAAUUAAUUUAUUUAUUUAUUUAUUUAUUUAUUUAUUUAUUUGGUUUUUCGAGACAGGGUUUCUCUGUAUAGCCCUGGCUGUCCUGGAGCUCACUCUGUAGACCAGGCUGGCCUCGAACUCAGAAAUCCACCUGCCUCUGCCUCCCGAGUGCUGGGAUUAAAGGCAUGUGCCACCAUGCCCGGUGCUAAAUUUAU
rnacentral:lncRNA from 1 species